GUGGGGAAUUUUGGACAAUGGGCGCAAGCCUGAUCCAGCCAUGCCGCGUGCAGGAUGAAGGCCUUCGGGUUGUAAACUGCUUUUGUACGGAACGAAAAGACUCUGGUUAAUACCUGGGGUUCAUGACGGUACCGUAAGAAUAAGCACCGGCUAACUACGUGCCAGCAGCCGCGGUAAUACGUAGGGUGCGAGCGUUAAUCGGAAUUACUGGGCGUAAAGCGUGCGCAGGCGGUUAUAUAAGACAGAUGUGAAAUCCCCGGGCUCAACCUGGGAACUGCAUUUGUGACUGUAUGGCUAGAGUACGGCAGAGGGGGAUGGAAUUCCGCGUGUAGCAGUGAAAUGCGUAGAUAUGCGGAGGAACACCGAUGGCGAAGGCAAUCCCCUGGGCCUGUACUGACGCUCAUGCACGAAAGCGUGGGGAGCAAACAGGAUUAGAAACCCUAGUAGUCC
rnacentral:rRNA from 1 species